AUACGUAGGGAGCAAGCGUUGUCCGGAAUUACUGGGCGUAAAGGGCGUGUAGGCGGCCGAUCAAGUCAGGUGUGAAAUUUCAGGGCUCAACCCUGAGCGUGCACUUGAAACUGGUUGGCUUGAGUGCAGAAGAGGAAAGUGGAAUUCCCAGUGUAGCGGUGAAAUGCGUAGAUAUUGGGAGGAACACCAGUGGCGAAGGCGACUUUCUGGUCUGUAACUGACGCUGAGGCGCGAAAGCUAGGGGAGCGAACAGGAUUAGAUACCCUGGUAGUCCUAGCCGUAAACGAUGGGUACUAGGUGUAGGGGGUUUGGACGCCCUCUGUGCCGCAGUUAACACAUUAAGUACCCCGCCUGGGGAGUACGGCCGCAAGGCUGAAACUCAAAGGAAUUGACGGGG
rnacentral:rRNA from 1 species